AUUGAACGCUGGCGGCAGGCCUAACACAUGCAAGUCGAACGAGUGGCGGACGGGUGAGUAAUGUCUGGGAAACUGCCUGAUGGAGGGGGAUAACUACUGGAAACGGUAGCUAAUACCGCAUACCAUCGGAUGUGCCCAGAUGGGAUUAGCUAGUAGGUGGGGUAAUGGCUCACCUAGGCGACGAUCCCUAGCUGGUCUGAGAGGAUGACCAGACACACUGGAACUGAGACACGGUCCAGACUCCUACGGGAGGCAGCAGUGGGGAAUAUUGCACAAGGGGCGAAAGCCGGAUGCAGCCAUGCCGCGUGUAUGAAGAAGGACUUCGGGUUGUAAAGUACUUUCAGCGAGGAGGCGGUACUCGCAGAAGAAGCACCGGCUAACUCCGUGCCAGCCGCCGCGGUAAUUC
rnacentral:rRNA from 1 species